AAGGGUUACUUUUGGUAUUUCACCAAGCAUCUUCAUCCUCACUCCUCAGUCAGCAACCAUCUCAUUGCACAUAUACCACUGAGACAGGAGAAAGAUGUGAGAUAAGGGAGACGGGCGGCGACGGUUAGGGUUCCGCCAUGAAACGGUAUCGGCAGUGUUUUUUUAUCAGAAUCGCUAAUGGGUGGGCUAAGUUCCAGGGUUCCGGCCGUCGUUCAAUUGAAGGUAAUGACCAUUAAUGAUGGAGGUUUUGGUUAUAGGGAAGGCGGUGAUAUCAGAAACAAACUCCGGUGACUCUACUAGGGUUCCGGCAAGAUUACAGCGCCUUUUUACACUGUAGGUUUGGUUUUCUUGAAGGUUCAAGGACCGAUGAUGAUGGUAUCGGGCAUGAAAGUGAUUCCGGUAAAGCUCUUAUCAAAGGGUGGCUUUGGGGAAACUGAGUUGAGAAUUAUUAUGUUGUAUCAUUGUCUCUGUUUCAUUUUAUUUUUCAAUUGUGUAAAUGACGGAGUAGGGUUCUCCGGCGUCGACAACGGUGAAGAGGCAUCCGCCAGCCUGAGGCAAUCUGGUGUUAUCAACUGGUUAUGCACUCGAUUCCGACUUGUUGUCCUUUUUUCCCGGCCAUACAUUAAUUAAUUAAUUAGUUGAUUCCACAUUCCCUCAGUUUUAGAAAAGAGACAAUGAUUGAUUUAAGGUGUUUAAUUUGUGAAAUUGGUAUGCAGUUUGUUAUUUUAUUUCAAGUUUAGAAAAGUAUAUAUGACCUGAAAGGGCCAAUAUAGCUCUAAAAGUUGGAUUCUUGUAUAAAACAAAACCUAUUGAGUAAAAUUUGUAGGAAGUAGAGAUAAGGAGGUAAAAAGGAAGAAGAUAACGUUGACGGCAGGAUCAGCAUGUGAUCAGGUUCAAAUGUUGCAGCAGGUUUGCUUGCUUUCAUUUACUAUUUUGAGUUUUUGGAAUUCACUACAAACAAUUUACUUGCCUCAUAACAUUUGUAUCAAAGUUGCUUUUCAUACCUGAUGCGCUUUUACUAGGUUCCACGUUUGGCAAUUGGCAUUUCAAUUUUUUGAUUAUUUGGAUGCAUUACUGACACCUUUACAAUAUGUUUGUCUUUUUGGUCAAAUUCAAAGAAAUUGACAAAAAAUUCAUGUGUUGCCGGACAUGACUACACUUAUGCUGAUAUACACAAAGAAACCGGAAAAAAAAGUGACGGGGGAGUAGUCAUCUAGGGUUACUCCCAAGGGGUUAAACCGAUUAUUUCAGGUGUGAUUACUAAUUAUAUGUCAUUAAAUCACUUUAACACUUUGAUAUCUUUAUCAAUAUAAUGUUUUGUUAAUCAUCAUUUUGCAAAAUUUUAGAACAAAAUUUUCGACUCCUAUUUAUAGAGUAAAACUAAAUAAAAAAAUUAUAAAUUAGUUUCUGAAUACCGUGUACAAAUCAGCUCAUGGUAUGGUCAAUUGGGACAAAAACCAGUUACUGUCUCAGUUAUGGAACCGGAUUUUUGAAGAAUUCAACGGGUUUUAUAGCGCUCGGUAUCCGGGUCGGUAUGGAAUUGGUUUCAGAUCAUAGGGUAUGGAACCGUCUUUCGAGUUGCUUCACAUGGCAUAGACAGUUUACCUAUUUGAUGAUUUAAUGUACGGUUAUCUGUUCACCUAUUUGGUUCAGGUACGUUUUUAUUGUUAGUUUGUUCUACUCGGACACCUCUUAUCACUAAUAGAUACCAGGCAUAAAACUUUUAUGAAUUCCUUAAACGACCACCGGUUUGAAUUUUGAAAACAUGCUAACUUUUUGAUUUUCUUUAAGUACUUUGUGUUAUUGUUCGCCUAGAAAAGUCGAGAUUGUUUAGUGAAGCAUAUGAUUCAUAAGAGGAAGUACUUAAUGAUGUUGCUCAAUUACAAGACAACAAGGUAACUCUUAUAUGUUAUGAUUGCUGAGUUUGAUGUUUGUUGUUAUGUCUGUGUUUUUAAGGGAAUUGCUCAGAGAGUUGUGAAGUGGGAAAGUGGUGGUGAGUUCAAGCGAGGAGUCCGGGAUUAGUAGAUAAUUAGAAGGAUUACCUAACGAACAACAGCGGUCUGGGGAAGAAUUGGCAGAAUGGUGGUCUUUUCAGCCGGAGAAGAAUCGACGGAAUGGUGGUCUCUGAGUCACAGGGGCGGAACUAGCAUUCAACGAGUCGUAGCACGGGCUACGGCUCAACUUCGUAUUGGUAGUAUACAGUGGCGGAACUACAAGAGGGUUAACGGAGGCAUGUUAUUGAAGUUUGAGUCUUGCAGUGUAAGUAAGGAGAAUGAUAAGAGAGAACUAGUAAAAAAAAACUGAAAAUAGAAACAUCAUGGUGCUUGUUACUUGCCUGCAACACAUUGUAUGGUUUAGGGUUUUAAGGAAGAAGACAUUUAAUAUUGAAUAUUUUAACUAAAGCAGUUCUAGA